rnacentral:rRNA from 1 species
AGCGAACGUUAGCGGCGGGCCUAACACAUGCAAGUCGAACGCGAAAGGUCUUCGGACUGAGUAGAGUGGCGCACGGGUGAGUAACACGUAGGUAAUCUACCCUUUGGCGGGGGAUAACGUUCCGAAAGGAGCGCUAAUACCGCAUAAGACCACGGAGUCUCCGGACGCUGUGGGAAAAGGUGGCCUCUUCUUGAAAGCUACCACCGAAGGAUGAGCCUGCGUCCCAUCAGCUAGUUGGUAAGGUAAUGGCUUACCAAGGCGAAGACGGGUAGCUGGUUUGAGAGAAUGAUCAGCCACACUGGCACUGGAACACGGGCCAGACUCCUACGGGAGGCGGCAGUGAGGAAUAUUGGGCAAUGGGCGAAAGCCUGACCCAGCCACGCCGCGUGAGUGAUGAAGGCCCUCGGGUCGUAAAGCUCUGUGGAGAGGGACGAAAACCCUGGUUUCAAAUAGGCUCCAGGCUUGACGGUACCUCUUUAGCAAGCACCGGCUAACUCUGUGCCAGCAGCCG